AAACCAAUUUAAUCCUUUUUAGAAUAAGGCUGUUACGUAACAAAGUGGAAAAAGUCAAGGGGUCUGAAUACUUUCCGAAUGCACUGUACGUGUUCUAUUUACAGAGUCCAAUCCCAUCAACAUCUGCAAUGGAAUGAACAUCAAGCUCUGCACCCGGUACUAGUGUAAGUCACCUUUGCUAAAUCUAUCCAUGACUCCAUGAUGAGCAAAUAAAUAUACUGGAGCUAGGCAAUAACACGGUCUCUGUCUUGCUGUCAUAGUUUUUGUGUUAAUAAGUAGGUUACAACUUCUACUGUAGUCCUCUGUAUUAUGGAGGCGUAAUUGAUUGUUUAUUCAAAGGUUGAAGUCUAAAUUGGAGAAAAGUAGAGGUAUUAGUAAGAAAGGGAUAGUGUGGGUGACUGACUGGUGUCUGUUGGGGGUUGGUAUUGUGUGUGAAGGUUAGUAUGCAUGAUCUAUUGGCACUAGGGGGAUGGGUGGAUAUAGUACCUAGUACUGGUCCAGAAGACACGUAGUAACUGUACUGGUGCAUGUCCUGUAUUGAUGACAUCUAAAAGCAAAUAUAUGUUGUCUGUCUUUGAAUGUGCUAAUGCAUAUGUGUGCCUCCGUUCUCAAGUACAUCUGUGACGUACACAGCUGGACAGAGGAGGGGGAGGAAGUCCACUGUCAACACCCUGACCUGUACGAUGAUGAUCGUGGCAAGACGAAGUGGCUGUCCGUGGACUCAGUUGUGACCUCUCGGCAGUUGUGUUGGACAAACGUUUCACAACAGAUCUCUCACACAUGGCCAGAUUCAAACAUACAGGCCAUCUGGAGGCAUUCCACAGUGCUCUACUGAAGUAUACCCCAAAGCACCAGUGUUUUGGGCUCCUAGGCAUGAAGGUGCAUCUUGCUAUCCGGGAGCAUAAUGAGAAUGUGGGACGCAAACAAGCCAGGACAGCCAAAGUAAACUUGCAGUACAAAGAAAUCUUCUGCAGAGGUUGAAGCAGUGGGUGGUGAAGAAAGUGUACAAGCCCAGAACCUAUCACUCAGGAAGAGGCAAGACGGUGGUCUACAAGCAGCCAGAGUAACAGCUCUCCAAACACAACAUCCCUGCCGACAACGCCACAGCGCCAAAGCCUGCUAAUCCAACUGUCAUUGCCCAAUACAAGACAAGGUUCAACAGCUGAAGAACAUUCUGGAACUUGCCUGGAACAUUCAACCAACACAACAUCUAUAUUCAGUUAGACUGAUGUUGUAGUAUAACACAGAAUGCCCAGUAUGCUCACAACUGUAUUCUGGUAGAUAUUGCUAACUCUUGUACAUAUGUAUAUAAAGGAGUAUGAUAAAAUGUUUUGUAAAGUGUACUGACAAGUUACUAAAUGUUUACAGUUGCAUCAGAAACCAGUACUGCCCUACCAAGCAAAAGUGCAGAAACGGACCAAAAACAAUGACUUACUGACAUUUUUUAUACAUUAAAUACAUGCUUUAUCGUGUGGACAAAUUUCCUGCUUCCAUUGUGUUGUGUUAUGGAGAAAAUGGGGGGGAAGGGAAAAAGCAGUAAUUGCCAUCACUCACGUUAGCUACCGCCUUUUACCUCGGUUUCACAGAGUUUUGGGUUGCAGUUUCUAUGGUUUAACCACAUCUCCAAUUAUUUGUUUUACCUUUAUUUAACUAGGCAAGACCAUUAAAAACAAUUUAUUAUUUGCAAUGACGGCCUAAUAAUAUGCACAACAGUGAAUAUUUACUUUUUCCGUAUGAGGCAUCAAAAGUAAAGGAGUAGGAAGGAAUAUGUUGUGUAUUGAUAUUCUAGUUUCUCCCUUUCCAAAAUCAUGGGCAUUAAUAUGGAGUUGGCCCCCCUUUGCUGCUAUA